ACGAACGCUGGCGGCGUGCUUAACACAUGCAAGUCGCACGGAAAGGCCCUGCUUUUGUGGGGUGCUCGAGUGGCGAACGGGUGAGUAACACGUGAGUAACCUGCCCUUGACUUUGGGAUAACUUCAGGAAACUGGGGCUAAUACCGGAUAGGAGCUCCUGCUGCAUGGUGGGGGUUGGAAAGUUUCGGCGGUUGGGGAUGGACUCGCGGCUUAUCAGCUUGUUGGUGGGGUAGUGGCUUACCAAGGCUUUGACGGGUAGCCGGCCUGAGAGGGUGACCGGCCACAUUGGGACUGAGAUACGGCCCAGACUCCUACGGGAAGCAGCAGUGGGGAAUAUUGCACAAUGGGCGGAAGCCUGAUGCAGCAACGCCGCGUGCGGGAUGACGGCCUUCGGGUUGUAAACCGCUUUCGCCUGUGACGAAGCGUGAGUGACGGUAAUGGGUAAAGAAGCACCGGCUAACUACGUG
rnacentral:rRNA from 1 species